rnacentral:rRNA from 1 species
UACAGAGGUCUCAAGCGUUGUUCGGAUUCAUUGGGCGUAAAGGGUGCGUAGGUGGCGAGGUAAGUCAGGGGUGAAAUCCCGCGGCCCAACCGUGGAACUGCCUUUGAUACUGGCGAACUUGAGUGCGUGAGGGGUAGGGGGAACGAGCAGUGUAGCGGUGAAAUGCGUAGAUAUUGCUCGGAAGGCCAGAGCCGAAGGGGCCCUACUGGUGCGCAACUGACACUGAGGCACGAAAGCGUGGGGAGCAAACAGG